UACGUAGGUGGCAAGCGUUGUCCGGAUUUAUUGGGCGUAAAGAGCGUGUAGGCGGUUCGGUAGGUCCGUUGUGAAAACUCGAGGCUCAACCUCGAGACGCCGAUGGAAACCAUCGAACUAGAGUCCGGAAGAGGAGAGUGGAAUUCCUGGUGUAGCGGUGAAAUGCGCAGAUAUCAGGAAGAACACCCGUGGCUAAGGCGGCUCUCUAGUACGGUACUGACGCUGAGACGCGAAAGCGUGGGGAGCGAACAGG
rnacentral:rRNA from 1 species